rnacentral:sRNA from 1 species
UUUACAUUGAGCCAACUUAAUUAAGGAAGCUUCUAAUUGAAAAGUCUACCUUUAGAUUAGAUCUCAAAUCAGGCAGGAUUACCCGCUGAACUUAAGCAUAUCAAUAAGCGGAGGAAAAGAAACUAACAAGGAUUCCCCUAGUAGCGGCGAGCGAAGCGGGAAAAGCUCAAAUUUGUAAUCUGGCGUCUACGACGUCCGAGUUGUAAUCUCGAGAAGUGUUUUCCGUGAUAGACCGCAUACAAGUCUCUUGGAACAGAGCGUCAUAGUGGUGAGAACCCAGUACACGAUGCGGAUGCCUAUUACUUUGUGAUACACUUUCGAAGAGUCGAGUUGUUUGGGAAUGCAGCUCAAAUUGGGUGGUAAAUUCCAUCUAAAGCUAAAUAUUGGCGAGAGACCGAUAGCGAACAAGUACCGUGAGGGAAAGAUGAAAAGCACUUUGGAAAGAGAGUUAACAGUACGUGAAAUUGUUGGAAGGGAAACACAUGCAGCCAGACUUGCUAUUCGGGGCAACUCGAUUGGCAGGCCCGCAUCAGUUUUUUGGGGCGGAAAAGCAUAGAGAGAAGGUAGCAAUUUCGGUUGUGUUAUAGCUCUUUAUUGGAUUCGCCCUAGGGGACUGAGGAACGCAGCGUGCUUUUAGCAUAACCUUCGGGUUAUCCA